UAAUGGUCAUUAGGCCAAACUGGAAUUCAUAAUUGAAUUUGGCUUCCCUUUUGUCUUGGUGGUACAUGAAUUAAAUCGAUUACAAUAGAACUCAACCUAAAUAAAAAGACUAGAAUUUUCCAAUAGAAAUGAUAACAAACUGAAUUAAGAAAGACGAUGCAUCGUCUGUUUUCAACAUAUCACUCUUCCACAAGUUAAUCUGAACCUGUAGCAUCAAGUAUUUGCACAUAAGGAAUAUUAGAAAUCAUGUGGGAAUCUUCACCUCGUAGCUUAAAUGCAAUCUUCUUGCUCGCGACAAUCUUCAACACCUCAAGAUUCCUCAUCAUCUCUUCCGGCAGCCUCUCCAAAUACGAGCACCGCUUGACCUCCAGUCGCCUGACCUCCGGCAUUGCACCUUCCUCCACUAGUAUGCUUCCUAGUGUGAUCAUAGAAUGAAAAAUCAGCACUUUAAGCACGCUAAAUCCGUUAUGUGAGAUCACCAUCUUCGAGCCCUCAUAUGCGCCGUCCAUCUUCAGGUACGACAACUUCUGCAGGUUCUCCAACAAGGGCAUGGGGUCUUCUCUCACACGAAGCCAAUCCAAUGUCAAAUGAGUGAGAUUCGGAGGGAAGACCGAGGGCAAAACGGGUAUCUCCCCGUGAAGCUUGAGCCGUGUGAUGCGAUGCAGGGAUCCGAGCCUGUCCAAAUCUAGGGUUUUGCAGUACUUGAGCUUGAGAUGCUCAAGCUUCUCCAUCUUCCCCAGUAAGUGGAAGAGCCGACUCGAAUUUGAUAUUCGAAAUAGAUUUAUGCCCAAUGUGGUUAGACUGGGCAUGUAUGCCACUUUUUCGACGUCUGCAUCGUUGAAAUUGACAUAGCUCAGCGUCUGGAGGAAUUUGAGGCCGCUUAUCUCCGGUGGCUUAUUGAAGUAGAACGACGACGCGUAGAGACGGCGAAGACAGAGCAUUUUUCCAAAAAUAUCGGACAUCUCGAUGUUAGUUAGCCCCCGAUGUCAAGAACUUCGAGGUUAACGAGCCUAGGAAGCCAAUUUGGCAUGUGCGAUAUGCCUGUGUUUCUCAGAUUCAGAUACUUCAAUCCCAUCAAUGCACCUAUUGAAACUGGUAGCUGUUUNGCUAAAUCCGUUAUGUGAGAUCACCAUCUUCGAGCCCUCAUAUGCGCCGUCCAUCUUCAGGUACGACAACUUCUGCAGGUUCUCCAACAAGGGCAUGGGGUCUUCUCUCACACGAAGCCAAUCCAAUGUCAAAUGAGUGAGAUUCGGAGGGAAGACCGAGGGCAAAACGGGUAUCUCCCCGUGAAGCUUGAGCCGUGUGAUGCGAUGCAGGGAUCCGAGCCUGUCCAAUCAGGUUUUGCAGUACUUGAGCUUGAGAUGCUCAAGCUUCUCCAUCUUCCCCAGUAAGUGGAAGAGCCGACUCGAAUUUGAUAUUCGAAAUAGAUUUAUGCCCAAUGUGGUUAGACUGGGCAUGUAUGCCACUUUUUCGACGUCUGCAU
rnacentral:lncRNA from 1 species